CCUGAUACAGAGUACUUGAAUGAAUGAGGAAAUAAAAGUGUGCUGUGUGAUUCUGGGCUGCUGUCAGACUCUACCUCGACUAAAGACUAACAAAUUGUAGCACUUAAAUUGUACUUGUACUUGUAACGUCACUCAUCUAUAGCAAAUUGUAAAUUGGCUUAUUUGAGGAAAUUGCACUUUCUUGUUUCUUGUUCUCCUGAGUUUGUACCCUAUGGUUGAAUGCACUUAUUGUACGUCGCUUUGGAUAAAAGCGUCAGCUAAAUGACAUGUAAUGUAAUGUAAUGUAAUGUAAUAGGGAGGAGACUGUGAAAAACCUGCUCCCGACCAGGGCCCUGUUCCUCGUACGUGGCUAACUCCACGAACGAGGAACAGGUUCCUCAGGAACGAGGAACA
ensembl:lncRNA